rnacentral:tRNA from 1 species
GACUCGGUAGCUUAGUGGGUAAAGGGCUCGUUUAGCAUACAAGAGUCCUGGGUUCGAAUCCCAGCCGAGCA